rnacentral:pre_miRNA from 2 species
UGUGGGAGCGAGAUAGGGACUCACUGUGCUUUUUAAUAGCUUUUUUCCAACCAAAAAAAUACUUAAACGGAAAAAAGUCACUACAAGUCAGUCUUUUUCUCUCUCCUAUA